CACUCUGGGUGUUUCUCUUGCAG
rnacentral:piRNA from 1 species